GAUGAACGCUGGCUACAGGCUUAACACAUGCAAGUCGAGGGGAAACGGCAUUGAGUGCUUGCACUGAAUGGACGUCGACCGGCGCACGGGUGAGUAACGCGUAUCCAACCUUCCCGUUACUGCGGGAUAACCUGCCGAAAGGCAGACUAAUACCGCAUGUUCUUCGAUGACGGCAUCAGAUUCGAAGCAAAGACUCGUCGGUAACGGAGGGGGAUGCGUCUGAUUAGCUAGUUGGCGGGGCGACGGCCCACCAAGGCGACGAUCAGUAGGGGUUCUGAGAGGAAGGUCCCCCACAUUGGAACUGAGACACGGUCCAAACUCCUACGGGAGGCAGCAGUGAGGAAUAUUGGUCAAUGGGCGGAAGCCUGAACCAGCCAAGUAGCGUGCAGGACGACGGCCCUAUGGGUUGUAAACUGCUUUUAUGCGGGGAUAAAGUGAGGGACGCGUCCCUUUUUGCAGGUACCGCAUGAAUAAGGACCGGCUAAUUCCGUGCCAGCAGCCGCGGUAAUACGGAAGGUCCGGGCGUUAUCCGGAUUUAUUGGGUUUAAAGGGAGCGUAGGCCGGGGAUUAAGUGUGUUGUGAAAUGUAGGCGCCCAACGUCUGACUUGCAGCGCAUACUGGUUCCCUUGAGUACGCGCAACGCCGGCGGAAUUCGUCGUGUAGCGGCGAAAUGCUUAGAUAUGACGAAGAACCCCGAUUGCGAAGGCAGCCGGCGGGAGCGCAACUGACGCUGAAGCUCGAAGGUGCGGGUAUCGAACAGGAUUAGAUACCCUGGUAGUCCGCACGGUAAACGAUGGAUGCCCGCUGUCGGCGCCUUGCGCCGGCGGCCAAGCGAAAGCGUUAAGCAUCCCACCUGGGGAGUACGCCGGCAACGGUGAAACUCAAAGGAAUUGACGGGGGCCCGCACAAGCGGAGGAACAUGUGGUUUAAUUCGAUGAUACGCGAGGAAACCUUACCCGGGGCUGAAAUUGCAGGAGAACGAUACAGAGAUGUUG
rnacentral:rRNA from 1 species